UACGUAGGGUGCAAGCGUUGUCCGGAAUUAUUGGGCGUAAAGAGCUCGUAGGCGGUUUGUCGCGUCGGCUGUGAAAACCUGGGGCUCAACCCCGGGCCUGCAUUCGAUACGGGCAGACUAGAGUUCGGUAGGGGAGUCUGGAAUUCCAGGUGUAGCGGUGAAAUGCGUAGAUAUCUGGAGGAACACCGGUGGCGAAGGCGGCAUCCUGGACCAAUAUUGACGCUGAGGAGCGAAAGCCAGGGGAGCAAACGGG
rnacentral:rRNA from 1 species